GACGAACGCUGGCGGCGUGCUUAACACAUGCAAGUCGAACGAAGAGCGAUGGAAGCUUGCUUCUAUCAAUCUUAGUGGCGAACGGGUGAGUAACGCGUAAUCAACCUGCCCUUCAGAGGGGGACAACAGUUGGAAACGACUGCUAAUACCGCAUACGAUCUAAACUCGGCAUCGAGGAUAGAUGAAAGGUGGCCUCUACAUGUAAGCUAUCACUGAAGGAGGGGAUUGCGUCUGAUUAGCUAGUUGGAGGGGUAACGGCCCACCAAGGCGAUGAUCAGUAGCCGGUCUGGGAGGAUGAACGGCCACAAUGGGACUGAGACACGGCCCAGACUCCUACGGGAGGCAGCAGGGGGGAAUCUUCCGCAAUGGACGAAAGGCUGACGGAGCAACGCCGCGGGAGGGAUGACGGCCUUCGGGUUGUAAAGCUCUGUUAAUCGGGACGAAAGGCCUUCUUGCGAAUAGUGAGAAGGAUUGACGGUACCGGAAUAGAAAGCCACGGCUAACUACGUG
rnacentral:rRNA from 1 species